UUCCCCUUCGGGGGACAAAGUGACAGGUGGUGCAUGGUUGUCGUCAGCUCGUGUCGUGAGAUGUUGGGUUAAGUCCCGCAACGAGCGCAACCCUUAAGCUUAGUUGCCAUCAUUAAGUUGGGCACUAUAAGUUGACUGCCGGUGACAAACCGGAGGAAGGUGGGGAUGACGUCAAAUCAUCAUGCCCCUUAUGAUUUGGGCUACACACGUGCUACAAUGGACAAUACAAAGGGCAGCGAAACCGUGAGGUCAAGCAAAUCCCAUAAAGUUGUUCUCAGUUCGGAUUGUAGUCUGCAACUCGACUACAUGAAGCUGGAAUCGCUAGUAAUCGUAGAUCAGCAUGCUACGGUGAAUACGUUCCCGGGUCUUGUACACACCGCCCGUCACACCACGAGAGUUUGUAACACCCGAAGCCGGUGGAGUAACCUUUUAGGAGCUAGCCGUCGAAGGUGGGACAAAUGAUUGGGGUGAAGUCGUAACAAGGUAGCCGUAUCGGAAGGUGCGGCUGGAUCACCUCCUUU
rnacentral:rRNA from 1 species